CGCCAGAAGUGCAUUUUAUCCACACAAGAUCUACUAGUGAUGCCCAGAUACAAAAGUUUGAAAGCCGAAACAAGCACAAAGUCGAACAGCAUCGAGGAACAAAAGAUCAAAAAAGUUGUGUCAAAAACGGCCAGGGUUUUCUGUUAGUUACCAGAACAUCCUUAUCAUUUAGAAUAAUUUAUACUUUUGCAAACAGUAAAUUUAUAAAAUUAAUAAACAAAAGCUGUACAUGAUAGAACUGAAAUAUUAACUAAUUACAGGAAACAACUGAAAUACAUUACAUAACCAGACAUUUGCAACACAAUAUGUAGACACAUCCGAAUAUGUUUAAACCUCAACGCCAAGUGACGUCAUAUUUGAAAUUGUAAAAAAUAACCAAAAAAUGAUGACGUCAUUUGAAUUUGUAAAACAGAG
rnacentral:lncRNA from 1 species